rnacentral:tRNA from 1 species
GGUUGUGGUUCAGUGGUAGAGUACUCGCCUAGCACACGUGAGGCACUGGGUUCAAACCUCAGCACCA